rfam:Aedes albopictus isolate Foshan contig29037, whole genome shotgun sequence.
CCAACGGCCCUUUUCAGGGCCACAGAAAAUUCCACUUCGAAUUCGU